UAAGUUAUACUGUGAAAGGCUAUAUAUCUGAGAACGCAACAUCUUACUUGUAACUUAUAUUGUAAAUAAAUUAUUUUUCUAAACAAAUGAUAUCUUACCGGUAAGUUAUAGUGUAAAAGGCAUAUAUAUCUGAGAACGCAACAUCUUAAUCGUAACUUAUACAGUAAAUAACUUAUUUUUUUCAAAACACCACAUUUUACUGCUAAGUUAUAGUGUGAAAUGCCUAUAUAUCAGUAAACACAUAAUCUUAUCCGUAUUUUAUUGAGUAAAUAGCAGGUUUUUCCAAAAACACCACACCUUACCGGUAAGUUAUAGUGUGAAAGGUAUAUAUAUGAGAACACAACAUCUUACCCGUAACUUAUAUAGUAAAUAAAUUAUUUUUCUAAAAACAAGAUAUCUUACCAAUAAGUUAUAGUGUAAAAGGCCUAUAUAUCUGAGAACACAACAUCUCAUCUGUAUUUUAUUGAGUAAAUAGCUUUUUUUUUUUUUUUCUAGAAACACCAUAUCUUACCUGUAAGUUAUAGUGUAAAAUGCCUAUAUAUCUGAGAACGCAACAUCUUAACCAUAUUUUACUGAGUAAAUAACUUAUUUUUCCAAAAAUACCUUAUCUUACCGAUAAGUUAUAGUGUAAAAUGUCUAUAUAUCUGAGAACACAACAUCUUAUCCGUAUUUUAUUGGGUAAAUA
rnacentral:lncRNA from 1 species